CCUACGGGAGGCAGCAGUGGGGAAUAUUGGACAAUGGGCGAAAGCCUGAUCCAGCAAUGCCGCGUGAGUGAUGAAGGCCUUAGGGUUGUAAAGCUCUUUUUACCAGGGAUGAUAAUGACAGUACCUGGAGAAUAAGCUCCGGCUAACUCCGUGCCAGCAGCCGCGGUAAUACGGAGGGAGCUAGCGUUGUUCGGAAUUACUGGGCGUAAAGCGUACGUAGGCGGUUAUUCAAGUCAGAGGUGAAAGCCCGGGGCUCAACCCCGGAACGGCCUUUGAAACUAGAUAGCUAGAGUCUUGGAGAGGUUAGUGGAAUUCCGAGUGUAGAGGUGAAAUUCGUAGAUAUUCGGAAGAACACCAGUGGCGAAGGCGACUAACUGGACAAGUACUGACGCUGAGGUACGAAAGCGUGGGGAGCAAACAGGAUUAGAUACCCUGGUAGUCCACGCCGUAAACGAUGAUAACUAGCUGUCCGGGCACUUGGUGCUUGGGUGGCGCAGCUAACGCAUUAAGUUAUCCGCCGUGGGAGUACGGUCGCAAGAUUAAAACUCAAAUGAAUUCGACGGCUAGAGACGUACGACCGAACGGACGACGACGAGGGAGUAGG
rnacentral:rRNA from 1 species